GGGGGGGGGGGGGGGGGGGGGGGGGGGGGGCGGGGCGGGCGGGGGGGGGGGGGCGGGGGGGGUGGGGGGGGAGGAGGGGCGGGCGGGUGGGGGAGGCGUGAGUAACCUGCCCCCUUCGGCUGGGGAACCGCAUGAAAGUGUGGCUCAUACGGGAUAUUCUGGGUCUGUCGCAUGAUGGGUCUGGGGCAGAUAUUGUUUCGGUGGGGGAUGGGGUCGCGGCCGAUCAGCUGGUUGGUGGGGUGAUUGCCUACCGAGGCGGUGACGUGCAGCCGGCCUGAGAGGGUGGACGGUCACACUGGGACUGAGACACGGCCCGGACUCCUACGGGAGGCAGCAGGGGGGAAUAUUGCACAAUGGGCGCAAGCCUGAUGCAGCGACGCCGCGGGAGGGAUGGAGGCCUGCGGGUUGUGAACCUCUUUCGCCAGUGAAGCAGGCCUGCCUCGUUUGUGGGUGGGUUGACGGUAGCUGGAGAAGAAGCGCCGGCUAACUACGUG
rnacentral:rRNA from 1 species